UGGCGUUUGAGCCACCACAUUUCUAGUUGUGUAAUUCUUUAUGGGUUACUUAGGAUAGGCGGGGAGAGUGUCUUGAGUGGAAAAGGGGAGUGUUGGUUAACUGUCAAAGGCGCCUUCAACCCUACACACAACGUUCACAGAGAGCCGACGAAGUUAUAAUAAACGGACCAUCCGCACCUAGUAUUCCCACGAAAACGAAGAACUACGCGAGUGAAACCGCAAGGCGCCGGUGCUGGUGGGUCAUCGAAUUCCACUAGGUUAUCGCCAAAAUAGGCAUAUUGACUACCGCAAACGAUGGACACCGCUGAUGCGAAGAAGAUAACUUUCAACAUCUGUAAAGAAGAGCUUAUUGGUUAUUUUCUCACAAUAAAACAGAAAACAGACUGUAUCAAAUGGAUGUAUAAACUAUUUUAAACGGUUUGGGUUGCGACGGUUGUACGAACAAGCUCAUGACUAGGAACCGGAUAAGUUAGAAACUAGACUAGCCAAACAAAUUCAUAUAAUUUGAGGCUGUUGUAAUUAGUUGGUUGACUUACAAUAGGGAUGAUGACAGUUUUUUAAAUUGUAUAUAAAUUAAGAGUAUGCUAAUCGUUAUCAACCCAUAUUUGUCUCACCGCUGAGCUCAAGUUUCCUCUCAGAAUGAAAGGGGUUAGGCCUUAGUCCACCACGCUGGCCCAAUGCGGAUUGGCAGACUUGAAACACGCAGAUAAUUAAGAAUAUUCUCUGGUAUGCAGGUUUCCUCACGAUGUUUUCCUUCACCGUUUGAGACACGUGAUAUUUAAUUCCUUAUAUUAAAUGUAAAAAAGUAUGCUAAUACUAAAGCAAUUUUGUAAAAGUAACAGGAUAUCUGCGAUCAUUACUUUCGGAGCUAAAAUAAAAUAAACUAUACACUACAUUAAAUUAACAUUGUAUAAAAGCAACUUAUCGCAUUGAAUGUAAAUAAAUAAAAAUAUAAAACAAA